UAGUCCACGCCCUAAACGAUGCUUACUCGGCAUUGGCGAUACACAGUCAGUGCCUAAGGGAAACCACUAAGUAAGCCACCUGGGGAGUACGUUCGCAAGAAUGAAACCCAAAGGAAUAGACGGGGACCCACACAAGCGGUGGAUCGCGGGGUUUAAUUCGUCAAUAAGCGAGUAACCUUACCAGGGCUUGACAUCCCGAUCGCGACUCUAGAGAUAGAGUUUUCAGUUCGGCUGGAUCGGUGACAGGCGUUGCAUGGUUGUCGUCAGCUCGUGCCUUGAGGUGUUCGGUUAAGUCCGUGAACGAGCGCAACCCUCGUCGUAUGUUGUAUUUUCAUGCGAGACUGCCAGUCAUAAACUGGAGGAAGGUGAGGAUGACGUCAAAUCAGCAUGACCCUUAUGCCCUGGGCUACACCCACGAUACAAUGGUCGUGACAAAGAGUUGCUAGUCUGCGAAGGCAAGCCAAUCUCAUAACGCGUACCUUAGUCGGUAUUGACAGGCUAGAACUCCG
rnacentral:rRNA from 1 species